rnacentral:lncRNA from 1 species
GUCUAAGUGUAGUAACCUAUCGAUGUUAUGCUUUAGCUUAAGGCUAAUUGUGUUAAAUGUGUUGUUUCUUGAUGUUGCGUUGGUUCAUUUAAUUUAGAGAACCGUAAUUAUUGUGUUUAAUCGUAUGUCGAUAACUAGUGUCUUCGUAGAAAGGGGUACGACGCUUCGCCGCUAGGUGUUUAAUUCGAUAUCGCAUAACACUAUUUAGGUUUGUAAUAUUCCUGUUUAUAUGCACUCAUGUGCAUCAUGCAUCUCAAUUAGGUACGAUAAUUGAUCGCGUGAUGCGGAAGACGAACCAAGUCGACCCCAAGCGCGGGCUACUCCGCAUGGAGAUGCUGAUGCACGAAUCUGCCUGAUCAAGUGCUAGGACAAGGAUGAUCGUCAAGUGGACGUCACCUAACAACACUAACCUAGUGUUACCCAGGCAAGCCCCGGUGCAUUUGCCACCUCCUUGUUGUUUUAAAACUUUUAUCACUUAUAUGCUGCAAUAGGUGAUAGGAGUUGAGUGAAGAAACAAUUGAUGCAUUGCCAUUCCUUGGAAUUCGAUUACUAUUCCUUGAUACCUGUUUUAUAAAGAGAACUAAUGAGGCUUAGCCCUGCUUAGAAACUAAAAGUUGUUUCUUUUAAAAAGAAUGUUGUGCAACACUGGAUAUGGGUUUUAUGAAAAAGGAACUUGUAAUAAUGAAGGCAUCACUCGCGAUGAUGAAUUCAUUAUUCGAGUAUUGUACCUCUGUCAGGUACAUGGUUUGGGUGUUAAAUAAUAAGAUGAGACCAGACGUUGAGCAGGAAAGGUCGCCCGUCUGUGUCGAUUAAGGACCGUUCCGAUUGUUGGCCUGCUGAUCUAGGACCCUUUAACUGGCCACAUGCCUCAUCAUGGGUAAGCUUAGCCUCGGCUGGACCAAUACCAGAAAGGCCGGCCCGCAAUGGGAGUGGAGAGAUGGCGAGAGUAUCGUGUAUCCACCUGGCAAGAGGCUGGAUGGUGGGGUACUGAGCUCUCGGUUGGCGGGGACCCGUUCUGGUCUUGAGAAACCCGGUGGCGAGUUGACAUAUGCAAGGGUUAAGUGCUACAUAUGUCGUGUGGUUGGAGAUCCCCAGCUGGGUAUUAAUCGAUUCGGAUCGCCGAACUUCUCGGAUAUGAAGACUGGAUCUUCGACCCUCAUCGUAGAUAACAAGUGAAACUAAAGCUGCUAAAAUGAAGCUAGUGUAGGACAAGUGAAUGCUCUAGAUUAGGCAAAUCUAGAUUCAGGAAAAGUACUUAAUCUGUGAAGUAAAACUUUGGCAUAAGGAUCCACUACUAGUAAGCUUUUCUGCAAAAACGAGUCUUUGAAAUUUGAUGAGCUUUAUCUUGAUUCCCAACAAACCAGCAUACCCUUGAGAGUCUUUUCUUUAGUCGGGUAAGUCUUGCUGAGUAAUUGCAUACUCAGGGUUUUAUUCCCUGUUGUUUUUCAGGUUAUAAUUUUGUUCUGUUGUGGAUGGUGCUAAGUGCCGGUGGGCUCGGCCUUCUUAUAUAAGUAUAUCCCAUCUUUAGCUUCUUUAUUGAGGAUUGUCACUUAAGCUAGCAUGUAUUUUAAAAACUUAUAAAUAUUUUAUACAUUUUAAAGUGUAAUUCUGUUGAAUCAUUUUCUUUUGUAAUCACUCCAAUAAUUGUAUAAUGUAAACUUAUUGUAACAUGUAAUUAUUUUGCAAUAAAGAAUUUAUUUCCGCUGCAAAUAUUGGUGUGUGAUUUGUGUUUACUUAAUCUUGCGAUCUUGGCGGUAAGUCGUUUAUCCGGGGUCCUCGGGGCACUCGGACAGAUCCUGUUAAGAUGUUUGGUGCACACGCAUAGCUGUCUGAGGUUUUUGAGACGAGGACAGAUGCGUGUGGGCCCGAUAACUUGGGAGGUUCUGCGACAGCUGGUAUCGGAGCUGGAUUAAGUAUAUACGGUCACAUACAUAUUUUCAAAAUAAAAGUUUUGGUUUUGAAAAACCUAUUUUCAACUAAACACAUUGUUUGGCUUUGAAAAACUAUAAUGCUAGCGACAUCCUCUAUUAAGCCCUAAAUUAAGGACUACCUGGUGGCUUAGUUGAAAACCAUAACCGGGUGGAUAUUGCAUACAUGUGUAUUGUUAUUUUUGAAAGCCAUUCAGUCUUGAAUGGAUCGACGCUCAAGGUAAGGUGAGAUGUGAGAGCAUGACCGAACAACCGUCGGUCUAGGGAAGUGCUUAAUUGUGGCGCUUGAUUAUAUACAUGUUUUACAUAUGUAUAUAUGAAGGCUGCGAUGUGGAGUAUUUACUUUUCGGGAAUUCAGUACCCCAUUGAUGUGUAUGGGUAUACAGACAUGGGAAUACUGAGAAGUGUAAUGUACUUGUAACGACGCACCUACGCUCAGGUAAGAAGGUGAGUUACCAUAAUGAGCUGCCCUAUGGUUAAAGUGUGGCAGCGGCGCCUAUGCGUGGCUCGGCGCUUAAUGAUGAGCUGACCUCCAUAUAGCAAUAUAUGGAGUAUAAACUGUGAUACACUGUCAUAUGUGACUUGCAUCAUUGGGAAUUGGGCUGUAAUGGAUUUUCUGCAGGUACACUAACCUCGAAAACGUAUGUGUAGCUGACGACUAGAAAAAUACCGUGAGAGAACGUAUGCCACCGAUAUAGAACGUUAUUUCCACAAUAUGUUGGCAAAAUUAGUGAGGACGAAUAGGACGAGCAUGCAUCCUGAUUGUUGCAUCAUGUUUGUCACCUAUACACCCAAAAUGCUUCUCUCAUCCUUAUUCCAGAAACCAGUGAUUGUAGAUAAUCUGGUGUAAUGUUGAAUUAUGAACUUCGAUGAAAUAGCUGCCCUCCAUUCUUUAGGUAAUCUGUUUAGGUGUUAUAUGUAUUUUGCCCUAGUGCUUGAUGUGUCGAUAGAAGGUUAGUGACUUGUUUGCCUAAACCCAAAUCUAGGCCAUGUUCUUAGUUGGUGAAACAUGACCAAAGUUGAUUUUUCCGUUACCCCUCCUUGACCCAAACUUAUACAAAUAAAUGUUUAGGUAAUUUCUUCGUUGGACAAAAAGGGUACUUAAGCUUAAAACAAGAAUCUCGAGUCAUGUCUCAUUCCAAAACCAUUCCCUUGUUUGGUUGGUGCAAGCUGAUGUUUCUAUUCCACUUUGCCUCUUCUGGAGGAUCACAUUGUUGCUUUACCAACCCAGUCUAGGAAAGACCUAUUCAGUCGUUUUCUUGAAUUUGGUGCCUUUGAUUUUUCUCAUAUCUAUCGAAGGCAUACCAACUUAAUCUUGUGAUUGUUUUUCCUCCGUAUCUAAUCAGAUACUAAUUCUUGACUUGUAUUGUUGCGAUGGGCAUAGAAAUAUGCUUGGGGCUGAAUUAACAGUCUCCCACCGUACUCCCUUCAUCAACCAAUUUUUGGUUUUGGCCAUAUCGUGUUCACUUCAUCGGGCCAUAAUCUAUUUGGUUCUCUACUUGUAACUGUUCUUAACAAGUGGAGUAUCUCUUUGUAUAUUGUCACCCUUGCUCAAUCUAUUGGUGUCGCGCGAGAUUUCUUAUUGGUUACGUCUAGUAAUGGUGUUGUGACUAAAAUCGAUGGUGCCGCGAUGAAACCGAGGGCCUCCUGUGGACGAUCGACACACGGUUGUGCUGCCCGGCACACGCUGGUAUCACGAUUAGUAGUUGUGAUCCAUUAUGAGACUAUAUCAAUGGGUUAUCUUGGCACAAUCUAUUUCUGCUACAUAAGAUUCAUUAUUGGUGCUAGUUCGAUGAUGGUGUCCUAGUCAAUAACUUAGGGUGCCGCGUAAAUCUGAAAGUCUCAUGUGGCGGCCGACACAUGGUAGUACUAUUCGGUACGCUAGUAUCGAAGUUCUUGGCUAUGAUCCAUUAUGGAACCACACUAACAUGCUAUCUUCCGUAGAUCUCUUCCUUGAAACGAUUUCGGUGUUGUUUGUCAAGUGAUCAAGCAACAUCUAUCAUCUCUAUUGGAUCAAAAGGACAUACCACUUCCAUGUGUGGUCUCUUUUUCCUUGACUUUGGUAGUGACUACAUACAUACAAGUUCCCUUUACAUCCUUUGUGUAAAGGUGAAGCUUUGAAGCUUUUUAGUGUUGGAAAACAACUGAUUAGCUCUUGAAAUGGAGAUUGACUUUUCCUGCUGCUGAGAUGCAGGAGUUUGUUCAUUCGCUCACUUAUUUAAUCCAUGUAUUCCUGGACCAAGUCGGUUUAUCUUGCAUAAAGAAACGGAUGAACAAUUUGACCAAAUAGAUUUUUACCCAAAUACAUAAUCUCUUGUUAACAAAGAGAGCUCUCAACCGUUGGCUUACCAAUGGUACUGAGAGGACUUACUCAAUGUCAACCGUAGUUCAACAAGUUGGUUUUACUAACUUGUAACUGCAUUGGGAACAACGGUUCGGAGAUCGUUUUGUCGAGUUGUCUAAACUCACUUUGGUUCAAUCCAUCCUAGGAAGGUACUUGUAAGAAUCAAGUCAAGUUGGCCAGUAACCACCUAGCCAUCGCUCCAGCCAUGCCUCGAUCGCCUCACGCGUGCUUUUCUAGCAUGUGUGAUCAUGUCGAACCAUGCCUAGUGCUUGAUAAAAUGGAUUGGUUGCAAAGUCAACAUCAACGGAUCUCUUCGUUGAUAUUUUCCCGAGUCCUUAUCAUUUUUCUUGGACUUGGAUUCACUGGCUAACACGAGUUAACUGGGAUGUUAUUCGACAUUCACACCUGUCUCGGGUGCUAUGAACUUACCAUGACCACUUGUUGGUAAACCUCCUUCGGUGUGUUUUACCCAAGAUGGUGCAUCUGAUUCUAUUUGGGGUAAAGUCGCAUAUCUACUGCUCGCCCAACAGACUCAGAUAGUACAGUUCAUCAGAAAAAGCAAACUGCACACAUGGAACCUUAUAUGUUCCCCUGGCAGACAUCGUCUCUAUUGGUGGACAUUUCUAAAUUAGCCUAAGGCAAUAUAUGUUAUGUCCACGAGAGAAACCACAUUCUGAGACACUCGCCUUUGCUCAGAACUGUCUUACGAUUAUCGCUGAUAUGGACAUGGGUUACAUGCUACUCUACUCUUAGAAGUCUUUCGCUCCGAAUCUCGGACGAGAUUCUUUUAAGGGGGGAGGGCUGUAACACCCCAGGUGUUUAUAUUCCGCUCGACAACGAGUACGAAUUUAAGCACGAAAUAUCAGUGGAUAAACCAGAUUUUAAAUUUUAAUCAUCUUCGGUUAUUGCAAUUUUAAUAUCGCAUAUGUUUCGCCUAUCGCGAGUUCAACUUUGUUCGUCCGGGCUCGUCCUAAAUUUUCGUGCUGUUCGGAACAUAUUUGUUCUGAAAAUCGGUGCGUCCGGUGAAUAUUUAAAAUUCAUCGCUCGCGCGAAUCCGAAUUCGGAAGCCCGAACCCCUAGGAUGAUUUUUAGCCUGGGCGAAUUAAAUAGAACUCGACGACUAAGUUUUCAAUGCAAAAUAAUUUAAUCUCUUUUUUGUCAUCCGUGACAUCGUGUCUACGGAUUUUUAAUUAAAUUGCUCUCUAACCGAGUGUUCGAGUAGCGAACGGAAUUCGUCUAAAAUCAACUGAAUCAGAUGCAGAUUUAAAUAACAAAGCCGAAAUCCGUUUAAUUCGUUCUGUUUGCAUCAUAUCCGAACCCGAUAUUAUCGGAGACAAAGAGAUUAACGUUUGAUUUUAUAGCAGAUGAUACUGGGUCCGAAAGAAUACUCUGGAUCGCUUGCGUUACCAUGAAACCAUGCACAAGCUUAAUAAUUGGGAUUAUUCUUUAGUGUGCUAUUCUAGGCAGAGAAAUCAAACGGGUUCGAAAAACAGAUAAAUUUUUAUCCGGGUUCAACUAAAUUAAUAGCAUCUCAAGUACUAUAUUUUGAUAGUGUUUCGACCCGUAUGUUUAUCGCCUUGAUCCAAAUCUUUAAAUAUAAAUAACGGCUAAAAAUUCAUCUGACUUUAGUAUCCAUCUAAUCAAAGAAUGUCUAAAUAUUAUCGUUGGCCUCAUUUAGAUCUGACCCAUUUAUACAUUUUCUAAAUCCAAAUUUUAGAACCUAGAUUUAACCUUGUUCUUUUCUUUAAAAUGAUACGAGAGAGGAAAGAAUUUUUUUUUUACAAAAAAAACUUUAUCAUAUCCUAGCGCCGCUUCCUUUAUCUGUUCUUAUCUUUGAGUCGUUGUCAUCCAUUCUUAUCCUCCGUAUAAUCUCCUCUUCAUCCUAAAAUCAGCAAUUCACUAGAGUCCCUAGGAUAUUUCUCCCUGAACGUGCACAACGUCCUAGAGGCUCUAUCACGUCAUCUUCUAGCUUCCAUAUGAUUCCUCUCCACUAGUCAUUCCUCUAGAAAAUCUCCAGCCGCUGCCCUCCAUCUGAUAUUUCGUAUAUCUGCUGGCUAGCGCUCGGCUUCUUUCGCACACGCUCCUGCUGCCGGUACCCAGUCCUACGGCCCCUCCUCUCUCCACCUCGACUCGCCGGCGUUGCUCGGCUGCAGCUCGUCGGAGCUUCCUGUUCUCAGCGCGCCGACCUCCCUCUUCUCCUUCAUGUCCGGCCGCCGGUCUGGCCGAGGACCCUGGUCGUGGGGUCGCGUCCUCCUCCCUCGUCGCGGACCUGCCGUGUCCUGGGCGCCAUUCCAGCACUGCCAGGUUCCGCGCCAUCGUGCCUCUGGGUCCUCGCCGCGGUUCAGGCCGUCGAUGCCUGUUGCCCCGACGCUCCCUCACGCUCCUUUAUCAGCCUCGCCUAGACCUCCGCCUCCUCGUCGGACUGCACACACGCCGCCGCCAUUUCUUGCAGUUUCGUCGCGCCAUCCCCUCUGAUUUCCUUGUUCUCGUCGGCUUAAACUCCGUUGACGUACCCUGCAAGCAGGUUUGACGCCCUCUCAAUUAUUCUGCUCGUUUCACUAACCGAUGCCUGUGCCUUGAGGUUAACUAUGUGUAUGUGUGUAUGUAUCGAGAGAAAAUCCUAGAUGUUAAAUCAUGUAGAAUAGUGAAGUCCAGUUCGUCGCUCGCCAGGUGCUCGAUAUAUUGCCUGAGUCGGAUUUGUCACCAUUUUCGCGAGUCCUGACUCGAUUUAGGUAUUGUGUAAGUUUAGAUUCGCUUGCAGUGAAGUUUAGUUCAAUCAGUUAGUCUUCGAAUAUUUGCGCAAUUAGAAAUAUUUUUUUUCCAUUAGUGAAAUAAAUCACACAAUGGAAGUAAUAAAAUGAAUAAUUUAUUGUAUCUGAUUUUGGGAUUGAAUGGAGUCCAUGGACCACAAUUCACAAGUUGAUCCUUGGCGUGUGCUUUAUGUAGCUAGAACUAUAAUUCACUUGAUGCUUCAUCUUCUCAUACGUAAGGUCUAAAACUCAUAAUCGUCGUCGGUUCCGCUGUAGUCGAGUCGAAUUGAUUAUGAUACUAUUAAAUCUUGGAGUUUCUCGCAGCUAAGCUUAAUUCAGUUUGGGUAUGGAUAGUUAGAUAACUAGUUUAAGUGUACUUAAUCACCUUUCUUUAAUAAAGUAAAUACUAGAUAAUUAAGAAAGAUUGGAUAAUGUUGAGUGAAGUCCAUGGAACGUCGACCUUGGUUAAUCCAUGGCACGCCUGUGAUGUUUGCCUGAAUGCAAGCUAGGAUGAGUUGCUUCUAAAUGAGUAACUCCAUUUUUACUCUAAAUUAGUAUGUUUAUCUAAUCAUCUUGUUAUAUGGUGGACUAGUAAGUACCUUAGGCAAUAAUUUAUUAAUCUAUAAUGUACUAUUGGAGCUUAUAAAACUAGUUAAAUUACUCUUAACUUUAAUCUAAGUCUUAGGUGGCUAUCACUGGUGAAUCUAAGUUUUAGUAAUUUCUUGGGAUGUACUGCCUUCUUGGUGCUUGUGCGAGACCUUAUUGAAUUAGAAAGUUAGUUAAAUGUGUUCUAUCACCUUUGCCAAGUUUUGAGUGUUAAAAAGUGACAGGUCUAAGUGUAGUAACCUAUCGAUGUUAUGCUUUAGCUUAAGGCUAAUUGUGUUAAAUGUGUUGUUUCUUGAUGUUGCGUUGGUUCAUUUAAUUUAGAGAACCGUAAUUAUUGUGUUUAAUCGUAUGUCGAUAACUAGUGUCUUCGUAGAAAGGGGUACGACGCUUCGCCGCUAGGUGUUUAAUUCGCUAUCGCAUAACACUAUUUAGGUUUGUAAUAUUCCUGUUUAUAUGCACUCAUGUGCAUCAUGCAUCUCAAUUAGGUACGAUAAUUGAUCGCGUGAUGCGGAAGACGAACCAAGUCGACCCCAAGCGCGGGCUACUCCGCAUGGAGAUGCUGAUGAACGAAUCUGCCUGAUCAAGUGCUAGGACAAGGAUGAUCGUUAAGUGGACGUCACCUAACAACACUAACCUAGUGUUACCCAGGCAAGCCCCGGUGCAUUUGCCACCUCCUUGUUGUUUUAAAACUUUUAUCACUUAUAUGCUGCAUUAGGUGAUAGGAGUUGAGUGAAGAAACAAUUGAUGCAUUGCCAUUCCUUGGAAUUCGAUUACUAUUCCUUGAUACCUGUUUUAUAAAGAGAACUAAUGAGGCUUAGCCCUGCUUAGAAACUAAAAGUUGUUUCUUUUAAAAAGAAUGUUGUGCAACACUGGAUAUGGGUUUUAUGAAAAAGGAACUUGUAAUAAUGAAGGCAUCACUCGCGAUGAUGAAUUCAUUAUUCGAGUAUUGUACCUCUGUCAGGUACAUGGUUUGGGUGUUAAAUAAUAAGAUGAGACCAGACGUUGAGCAGGAAAGGUCGCCCGUCUGUGUCGAUUAAGGACCGUUCCGAUUGUUGGCCUGCUGAUCUAGGACCCUUUAACUGGCCACAUGCCUCAUCAUGGGUAAGCUUAGCCUCGGCUGGACCAAUACCAGAAAGGUCGGCCCGCAAUGGGAGUGGAGAGAUGGCGAGAGUAUCGUGUAUCCACCUGGCAAGAGGCUGGAUGGUGGGGUACUGAGCUCUCGGUUGGCGGGGACCCGUUCUGGUCUUGAGAAACCCGGUGGCGAGUUGACAUAUGCAAGGGUUAAGUGCUACAUAUGUCGUGUGGUUGGAGAUCCCCAGCUGAGUAUUAAUCGAUUCGGAUCGCCGAACUUCUCGGAUAUGAAGACUGGAUCUUCGACCCUCAUCGUAGAUAACAAGUGAAACUAAAGCUGCUAAAAUGAAGCUAGUUUAGGACAAGUGAAUGCUCUAGAUUAGGCAAAUCUAGAUUCAGGAAAAGUACUUAAUCUAUGAAGUAAAACUUUGGCAUAAGGAUCCACUACUAAUAAGCUUUUCUGCAAAAACGAGUCUUUGAAAUUUGAUGAGCUUUAUCUUGAUUCCCAACAAACCAGCAUACCCUUGAGAGUCUUUUCUUUAGUCGGGUAAGUCUUGCUGAGUAAUUGCAUACUCAGGGUUUUAUUCCCUGUUUUUUUUCAGGUUAUAAUUUUGUUCUGUUGUGGAUGGUGCUAAGUGCCGGUGGGCUCGGCCUUCUUAUAUAAGUAUAUCCCAUCUUUAGCUUCUUUAUUGAGGAUUGUCACUUAAGCUAGCAUGUAUUUUAAAAACUUAUAAAUACUUUAUACAUUUUAAAGUGUAAUUCUGUUGAAUCAUUUUCUUUUGUAAUCACUCCAAUAAUUGUAUAAUGUAAACUUAUUGUAACAUGUAAUUAUUUUGCAAUAAAGAAUUUAUUUCCGCUGCAAAUAUUGGUGUGUGAUUUGUGUUUACUUAAUCUUGCGAUCUUGGCGGUAAGUCGUUUAUCCGGGGUCCUCGGGGCACUCGGACAGAUCCUGUUAAGUUGUUUGGUGCACACGCAUAGCUGUCUGAGGUUUUUGAGACAAGGACAGAUGCGUGUGGGCCCGAUAACUUGGGAGGUUCUGCGACAUUCUUCGAGCGACAUUUUGGUGUACCUGGGAUUCUCACGAAUGUUAUUCACCAAAUGAGGAUCAAGAACGGUAAAGGACCUUAGCAUCAAUCGGACUACGUCGUGGUCUGUCCAUCGCGUGCUUCCGGAGCUCCUUAUUUUGUUGAUAAGGGUCUUGAGCCGGUUGUAUGUUUGUGUCGGCUCCUCGCCCCUUAUCAUCGCGAAUCGUCCAAGCUCGCCCUCCACCAACUCCAUCUUGGUGAGCAAGGUCACGUCGUUCCCCUCAUGUGAAAUCUUGAGGGUGUCUCAGAUCUGCUUGGCGUUAUCCAAGCCGCUCACUUUGUGGUAUUCAUCCCU